rnacentral:misc_RNA from 1 species
GAUGAAGAACGGUGCGAAAUGCGAUAAGUAAUGUGAAUUGCAGAAUUCAGUGAAUCAUCGAAUCUUUGAACGCACAUUGCGCCCGCCAGUAUUCUGGCGGGCAUGCCUGUCUGAGCGUCAUUUCAACCCUCAUGCCCCUAGGGCGUGGUGUUGGGGAUCGGCCAAAGCCCGCGAGGGACGGCCGGCCCCUAAAUCUAGUGGCGGACCCGUCGUGGCCUCCUCUGCGAAGUAGUGAUAUUCCGCAUCGGAGAGCGAUGAGCCCCUGCCGUUAAACCCCCAACUUUCCAAGGUUGACCUCAGAUCAGGCAGGAAUACCCGCUGAACUUAAGCAUAUCAAUAAGCGGAGGA